rnacentral:rRNA from 1 species
UGGGGAAUAUUGGACAAUGGGGGCAACCCUGAUCCAGCAAUGCCGCGUGAGUGAUGAAGGCCUUCGGGUUGUAAAGCUCUUUUGCCCGCGACGAUGAUGACGGUAGCGGGAGAAUAAGCCCCGGCAAACUUCGUGCCAGCAGCCGCGGUAAUACGAAGGGGGCUAGCGUUGUUCGGAGUUACUGGGCGUAAAGGGCGCGUAGGCGGCUCGAUCAGUUUGGCGUGAAAGCCCGGGGCUCAACCUCGGAAUUGCGCUGAAUACUGUCGAGCUUGAGUACCGGAGAGGAUGGUGGAAUUCCCAGUGUAGAGGUGAAAUUCGUAGAUAUUGGGAAGAACACCAGUGGCGAAGGCGGCCAUCUGGACGGUAACUGACGCUGAGGCGCGAAAGCGUGGGGAGCAAA